rnacentral:tRNA from 1 species
UGCUCCCGGUCGGGAUUGAACCGACGACCUUCGCGGUGUAAACACGAUAUGAUGACCACUACAUCACGGGAGC